CAGUAGCCGCGGUAAUACCGAGGGUGCGAGCGUUAAUCGGAUUUACUGGGCGUAAAGCGUGCGUAGGCGGCUUCUUAAGUCGGAUGUGAAAUCCCUGAGCUUAACUUAGGAAUUGCAUUCGAUACUGGGAAGCUAGAGUAUGGGAGAGGAUGGUAGAAUUCCAGGUGUAGCGGUGAAAUGCGUAGAGAUCUGGAGGAAUACCGAUGGCGAAGGCAGCCAUCUGGCCUAAUACUGACGCUGAGGUACGAAAGCAUGGGGAGCAAACAGGAUUAGAGACCCGCGUAGUCCCUGUCUCUUAUAC
rnacentral:rRNA from 1 species